rnacentral:misc_RNA from 1 species
CCCAACUAUCCCUAUUAAUCAUUACGUCGAUCCUAGAAACCAACAAAAUAGAAUCAAACGUCCUAUUUCAUUAUUCCAUGCUAAUGUAUUCAAGCGCGAGCCUGCUUUAAACACUCUAAUUUUUUCAAAGUAACAGUCCUGAUUCCCCAUGACAUCAACUUAAUGACAUCAUGAUUCAUCAGAAGGAAGAAACCAAUAAUACUAGUACGUACCAAUGGCACGACCAGCAUAUUGAUCCCGAAAUUCAACUACGAGCUUUUUAACUGCAACAACUUUAAUAUACGCUAUUGGAGCUGGAAUUACCGCGGCUGCUGGCACCAGACUUGCCCUCCAA